UGAGGAAUAUUGCGCAAUGGGCGAAAGCCUGACGCAGCGACGCCGCGUGGAGGAUGAAGGUCUUCGGAUUGUAAACUUCUGUUAAGUGGGAAGAAAAAGUUGUUUUUAAUAGAGACAGCUAAUGACGGUACCAUUAGAGAAAGCACCGGCUAAACUCGUGCCAGCAGCCGCGGUAAUACGAGUGGUGCAAGCGUUAUUCGGAAUCAUUGGGCGUACAGGGUGUGUAGGCGGUAUGCUAAGUCUGCUGUUAAAUCCUCCGGCCUAACCGGAGAUAGGCGGCGGAAACUGGCGUACUAGAGGGUGGAAGAGAGAAGUGGAAUUCUCGGUGUAGCGGUAAAAUGCGUAGAUAUCGAGAGGAACACCGAUGGCGAAGGCAGCUUCUUGGUCCAUUCCUGACGCUGAAACACGAAAGCGUGGGGAGCAAACA
rnacentral:rRNA from 1 species